rnacentral:lncRNA from 1 species
UGGCUGGGCCGCCGCCGCCGCGGCGUUCCCGAGGGAGCCAACCGCCUUCAGGCGGCGGUCAAACUGGCCCUCUUUCCGCGCUUCCCGACCCAAAUCGGAGCGCUGCUCGGCGGCUCAGUGGUUCUGUGAGCCGUGCCCCUGUGCCCGUCCCCGCUGCGCCAAGCCGAGAGGAUGCUCCUGACCAGAGCCAGUGCCAGCAAUGAUGGGCUUUUUUUUGUUGUUUUUUUUGUUGUUUUUUCUUUUUUUUUUCUCAAGAACAGCUUCGGGGCAAAUCCCCUGUCCCUGCGGGUUUCCGUCCCCCCACGCCUGCUCUGGCGCAGGCUCUCUUAUUUUUCAGACGUUGCAAAACAGGAUUGUUUCCCCUUUUUAAAAGCCAGGUUCCCUUUUCUUCAAAUAAGGAAAAUUUCCAGCGCGAAAAUCAGGAAGCGGAGCUGAGCACAUGGCGUUAUUGCAGCGGUGUGAGCGCAGCAAGGCUCCGUUUUCUCUAUCAUUUUGUUCAGACUCUGAUGAUCUUGUAGGAUCUGCUUGACCUUAAAUGAAGGCCUUUCCUUUUUUUUUUUUUUUUUUUUUUUUUGCUGAUGUAUUUAUCCAUUCCCUUGUGAAAAAAAAAAAAGCUGCACUAACACAAUCUGACUUCCUUGUCAAAUUAAUAAAACUGUCUCAUUCUGAAGAGGUUUAUUCCCCUCCCACAAAACAGACGUGGCCUCGGCGUGUUUGCGUCCUGACGCUGGGCGGCCGGGGCUCUGCCCGGUGUCGGUGGCAGGCGCGAGCCCCGUGAGGAUGCCCAUCCGGCGGGAUUUCGGGACCCUGAAGGCACUGGCCUGUUGACCCAACGCUCAGCAGCGGUGAAAGCAUCCCCAAAACGUGAACCCAUAACAGCAGAGCUAACAGCCACGUGUGCAGUGAAACAAGCUAAAAGCCAGCCCAGGUGUGACCAGAGCUGAACUCCCCCCAAAACGCACCCCUUGGAGGGUGCUGCUCAGGGGAAAACGCAGGGAUGGGCACAAAACAGGUGAACCCGAGGCCGAUGCUGUGCAGAAGCGGGGCCGGCCGCGGCGAGCUGAAUCACCCUCCGCUUCCCGGGGACGGGGAGGAUAACAGCUCGCGACGCUGUGGGGCAACUGAAAGGCACGCGGCUGCUGUCAGCGUCCGCGAGGCGCCUUAUUUUGCAAUGGCACUGAAAGCAAGAGCCCUUGUGGGUCUGAUACACUUGUUAUUUCUAGUCCCUCUCCAACAGAUCGCCAUGGGUUUGGAGCAUGCACAGUCCGGGUGGGGUGAGAGAGGCCAGGAGAGAAGGGGGAGAGAAGAUGAGGCCAGGAAAUGGGUCAAUCCUUUGGCAGAGCUGACGACAGCAGACCUUCAGAAAUCACGGCCUGGGCCCGGCACAGCAGCGCGCUGGGCCGCUCCACACCACCCCGGCUCCGGCAGCUUCCUUCUUCCACGGGUCUGCGCUCGGGACCGAGGACACCUGCUUCCCGGCAGCUCGUGA